AUGGCGGGAUCUGUGGGCACAGGCAGGGUAGCACCUCGGUCGUCCCCAAAGCGGUACAACGGCAUGGAUCCGCCGUUAUCUUUGACCAGGCCGACCAUGUUCGAUCUGCAGAAGACGGCUGAGCUCGAGAAGUUCUUGGUUGAAGCGGGCCUUUACGAGAGCGAGGAGCAGUCCGCGAAACGGGAGGAGGUGCUACGGGAGAUUGAUGGGAUAGUUAAGGAAUGGGUGAAGCAGUUAACUAGUCAGAAAGGGUAUUCUGAGCAAAUGAUUGAAAAGGCAAAUGUAGUCCUUUUCACUUUUGGAUCUUACCGCUUGGGGGUUCAUGGGCCUGGAGCAGACAUUGAUAUCUUAUGUGUUGGACCUUCAUAUGUGAACCGAGAGGAGGAUUUCUUUGUCACACUACAUGGCAUAUUAACACAACUGGAAGAAGUGACUGAACUACAACCUGUACCUGAUGCUCAUGUACCUCUUAUGAAAUUUAAGUUCCACAGGAUGGCAAUUGACCUUCUCUAUGCCAGUGUAUCUCUUGCAGUAAUACCACCANNNNNNNNNNNNNNNNNNNNNNNNNNNNNNNNNNNNNNNNNNNNNNNNNNUGUUCGAAGUCUUAAUGGGUGCAGGGUGGCAGACCAGAUUCUUCGACUUGUUCCAAAUGUUGAGAAUUUCCGGACAACACUCAGGUGUUUGAAGUACUGGGCAGAGAGAAGGGGCGUUUAUUCCAAUGUUACUGGUUUCCUUGGGGGUGUCAACUGGGCCAUAUUGGUUGCUCUUAUCUGCCAACUCUAUCCUAAUGCUGUACCAAGUAUGCUGGUCUCAAGAUUCUUCAGAGUUUUUACGCAGUGGCAGUGGCCGAAUCCAGUGAUGCUUUGUGCCAUUGAGAAUGAUGACCUUGGUUUUUCUGUAUGGGAUCCACGUAAAAAUCCUCGUGAUAGAUCUCAUGUUAUGCCUAUCAUAACUCCAGGCUAUCCAUGCAUGAACUCUAGCUAUAAUGUAUCUUCUAGCACAUUGAGGGUUAUCAAGGAGCAAUUUAAGCUCGGUAAUAAGAUUUGUCAGGAAAUUGACCUUAAUAAGGCUAGUUGGACUGCCUUGUUUGAGCCUUUUAUUUUUUUCGAGGCAUAUACGAAGUAUCUAGUGGUUGACAUUGUUGCGGACAAUGAUGAUGAUCUUCGGCUUUGGAAGGGAUGGGUUGAGUCUCGACUGAGGCAGCUGACCUUGAAGAUAGAGCGGGAUACUAAUGGAAUGCUGCAAUGCCAUCCUUACCCAUGUGACUAUUCAAAUCCUACAGUACAGUGUGCUCAUUGCUCCUUCUACAUGGGCUUAUCAAGGAAAGAAGGGAUGAAAAUACAUGGUCAAAACUUUGAUAUUCGUGGAACGGUAGAUGAGUUUAUGCAUGAAAUCGGAAUGUACACAUUGUGGAAGUCUGGAAUGGACCUAGCGGUCACUCAUGUUCGUAAGAAGCAGAUCCCUUAUUAUGUAUUUGAACAGGGUUACAAGAAACCUUGUCCACCAAUGCAUGCAAACCAGCAAGAGCAGUCUGAUAGACAUGACACUGAAGAUGACACACUGACAGCAUCUAUGUUGGGCCAACUAAAGAGAAAGCGUGAUUUUGAUGAAGCUGGUCACAGUGAAUCAUGUAAAUCUGUUAAAAGGUCUUCAGUAUGCCUAGGCUACGAGGAAAGUCCACCUGAAUAUGGAAGCAUUGUAAGUAAAGUUGUAUCCGGAAACACAGUCAAAUUGGUUUCCAGUGCCCUCUGUAAUGGAGUUCAGAAUGGACUGUCGCAUGGCAAUGUAAAUUUGGAAUCAGCAAAUUGCUCCAGUUCACCACAUGGAUCUGAGGAGUCUGCAGCAUCAGGCACAAGCUGUGCAGCUGUGGAAACAGUUCACAUGGUUUAUGAAACUGUUGGUCCUGAAAGCUCAAUGGCAUGUGUUAUCAAUGGUAUGGUCCAGACUAUGGCAGUGCACACACCUUUAAAAUGUGUGGCUGAGAAAGAUGAACCCAAGUUUGAGGGAAUUGGUAGCUUGGCAAACAGCAAUUCUGCCGAGUUUAUGGAGCAGACAGAAAUGCUCACUGGAAACGUCCUUGGUGAGAAUAUGCACUUGUGUGAAUGA
rnacentral:rRNA from 1 species